rnacentral:rRNA from 1 species
AGCGAACGCUGGCGGCAGGCCUAACACAUGCAAGUCGAACGGAUCCUUCGGGAGUAGUGGCGGACGGGUGAGUAACACGUGGGAACGUGCCCUCUGGUUCGGAACAACUCAGGGAAACUUGAGCUAAUACCGGAUGUGCCCUUCGGGGGAAAGAUUUAUCGCCAUUGGAGCGGCCCGCGUCUGAUUAGCUAGUUGAUGAGGUAAAGGCUCACCAAGGCGACGAUCAGUAGCUGGUCUGAGAGGAUGAUCAGCCACAUUGGGACUGAGACACGGCCCAAACUCCUACGGGAGGCAGCAGUGGGGAAUCUUGCGCAAUGGGCGAAAGCCUGACGCAGCCAUGCCGCGUGAAUGAUGAAGGUCUUAGGAUUGUAAAAUUCUUUCACCGGGGACGAUAAUGACGGUACCCGGAGAAGAAGCCCCGGCUAACUUCGUGCCAGCCGCCGCGGUAAGAC